rnacentral:lncRNA from 1 species
AGAUGCACUCUUCCAUGUCGAGACCAAAUGUCUCCAAUUUGGUGUCACUAUAGCUAUCAGAGCAGUCAAAGAAAGCAAAUCAGCCAAAUUGAUUUGUCUAAUGUUCACUCUCAAAAGAACAGCCAUGGAAGUAAGCAAGAAAAAGCGAAGAAAAAAAAAAGCAACCAACCUACGAUGGUGCAUCGAAAGAGAAAAGCAAACAAAAGGGUGCC